rnacentral:rRNA from 1 species
AUAAAAUUUUACAAAAUAGGGAUUUUUUUUUAAAUUAAGGUUUAAAUUCUAUAAGUCCCUGUUUGUUGUGUUUGGGCGGCAAAGAUAAAAAUGAGUAACUGUCAUUAAAUUUGAAUAAGUAUAAUUAGUUUGAUUGAUCCUUUAUUAGAGAUUAAAAGAUGA